GAUGAACGCUUUCUUCUUUCCUAAUACAUGCAAGUCGAGCGAACAGACGAGGAGCUUGCUCCUCUGACGUUAGCGGCGGACGGGUGAGUAACACGUGGAUAACCUACCUAUAAGACUGGGAUAACUUCGGGAAACCGGAGCUAAUACCGGAUAAUAUAUUGAACCGCAUGGUUCAAUAGUGAAAGACGGUUUUGCUGUCACUUAUAGAUGGAUCCGCGCCGCAUUAGCUAGUUGGUAAGGUAACGGCUUACCCAGGCAACGAUGCGUAGCCGACCUGAGAGGGUGAUAGGCCACACUGGAACUGAGACACGGUCCAGACUCCUACGGGAGGCAGCAGUAGGGAAUCUUCCGCAAUGGGCGAAAGCCUGACGGAGCAACGCCGCGUGAGUGAUGAAGGUCUUCGGAUCGUAAAACUCUGGUAUUAGGGAAGAACAAAUGUGUAAGUAACUAUGCACGUCUUGACGGUACCUAAUCAGAAAGCCACGGCUAACUACGUG
rnacentral:rRNA from 1 species